rnacentral:rRNA from 1 species
UACGUAGGGUCCGAGCGUUGUCCGGAAUUACUGGGCGUAAAGAGCUCGUAGGUGGUUUGUCGCGUUGUUCGUGAAAACUCACAGCUCAACUGUGGGCGUGCGGGCGAUACGGGCAGACUAGAGUACUGCAGGGGAGACUGGAAUUCCUGGUGUAGCGGUGGAAUGCGCAGAUAUCAGGAGGGAACACCGGUGGCGAAGGCGGGUCUCUGGGCAGUAACUGACGCUGGAGGAG